GUAAUACUCCCUCCGUCCGAAAAUACUUGUCGUCAAAAUAAAUAAAAGAAGAUGUAUCUAGAUGUAUUUUAGUUCUAAAUACAUCUUUUUUUAUUCAUUUCGAUGACAAGUAUUUUUGGACGGAGGAAGUACGUA
rnacentral:pre_miRNA from 1 species